GUCCACGCCCUAAACGAUGUACAUUGGACCGAUGCUGCUCUGACGUAGUAUUGGUCGCAGAGAAAUUGCUAAAUGUACCGCCUGGGGAGUACGGUCGCAAGGCUAAAACUCAAAGAAAUUGACGGGGGCUCACACAAGCGGUGGAGCAUGUUGCUUAAUUCGAAGCAACGCGAAGAACCUUACCCGGGUUUGACAUACACGGAUUAGUAGGUGGAAACAUCUAUGAGGCCCGCAAGGGUACAACGUGAACAGGUGCUGCAUGGCUGUCGU
rnacentral:rRNA from 1 species